rnacentral:tRNA from 1 species
GGAGGGAUACCCAAGUGGCCGAAGGGGGAGCAUUGCUAAUGCUCUAGGGGGGCGAUAAGUUCCCGCGAGGGUUCGAAUCCCUCUCCCUCCGCCA